rnacentral:rRNA from 1 species
CUACAGGAUGCAGCAGUGGGGAAUAUUGGACAAUGGGCGCAAGCCUGAUCCAGCCAUGCCGCGUGAGUGAUGAAGGCCUUAGGGUUGUAAAGCUCUUUCAGUGGGGACGAUAAUGACGGUACCCACAGAAGAAGCCCCGGCUAACUUCGUGCCAGCAGCCGCGGUAAUACGAAGGGGGCUAGCGUUGUUCGGAUUUACUGGGCGUAAAGCGCACGUAGGCGGAUCGUUAAGUCGGGGGCGAAAUCCUGGAGCUCAACUCCAGAACUGCCUUCGAUACUGGCGAUCUUGAGUCCGGAAGAGGUGAGUGGAACUCCUGGUGUAGAGGUGGAAUUCGUAGAUAUUAGGAAGAACACCAGUGGCGAAGGCGGCUCACUGGUCCGGUACUGACGCUGAGGUGCGAAAGCGUGGGGAGCAAACAGGAUUAGAUACCCGCGUAGUC